UACCAAGUAGGAGAAAGGCAUCAUUCUACCCUGUUAAUCAGCUACUGUUUAAAAACAUUUCAGGGAUAGAGAACUUUAACAGUCAGCCCUGAGUUCUGUCUGCAGUACCUUUUUUUUUUUUCUUUUAAGGGGGCUGGAGUGAUGGCUUGGUGCUUAAAGGCACUCAGUCUAACAAAGGGCCUACCCCGAUUCUAUUCCCAGCACCCAAAUGGCAGCUCAAUCUGUCUGUAACUCUAGUUCAAGGGCCUCUGACCUUGCUGUUAUCCUACUUGGGAAUUUUGAAUGGUGAGGAAGCAGUAUUAACUUAGUACUUUUUUCCUGGCAUGUGCUAAAAUCAAUAGCCACAAGAGCAUCCUCUGUAGAGCUGUUAAAGCAAAAGCUAUCCAAUUUAGCUUUUCUACUUCUGAGGACAGAAGACACUUAGACCAGAAAAAACUAACCCAAGGAAUAUAUACACUUUGGCAAAGAAAAUCUACAUAGACUUAUUGUAUACGUAAGACAUUACAAUUCCUAAUGCUGCCACGGGAGCUUAGCAGCUCGUCAGUAUGUUCAGAGAAGGUCCUAGUCGGUGGCUUUGGAGCUUUACUUUGAGAAAGUGGGGUGUUGAAGAAACAGAAGAAUUAAAUGUUAGAAUGAUACAGGCAACAAGCUAAGGUGCUACAUCAUCUUCACACUCAGAAUUGAUUUUUGCAACUUAAAAUCAACUUUCAAUGUGCUUGGAGUAGUGGCAGCUUUACAAGGAUAAGUACAAUGCCUCCUAGGGAAAUUUUAAAGGACAACAGACUUAAGUAGAGACCCUCCACUGAUUAGGGAGCCAUCAAAAUUUAACCCCUGAAAUCCUUAUAUUUAAAUAGCAAAUUCCAUCAAGAGUUCCAAUAGCCCAAGUUCUAAACAAACUGACAACUGUCUUUCUAGAUCUUCAGUAAUCUAAAAGACAAAUUUUAUCAUGUACACAUUCUACAAGUAGGCUGUUAGCAGGAUUAACAGGACAAAUGAAUUUUUAAAAAGCCCUCAAGAUUCUACAGAAAAAAAUGGAGAAGACAGUUUUUGGACCGGACAUUCAUAGUAGCAGAUGUAAUGAGACAGGGCUCAAAUAGAAAGGCAGCUAGUUGAAUUCUCAAGUCAUCUAAAAGUACUAUGUUCAAAGUAGGUAUUUCUAUAGAUGAUCUAACCAUUUUAUUUACAACUUCACCAUGUCUUUAAACAAUGAGGGCAGUUGCCUGUAUUCAAUAGGAAUGACAACUAGACCUGACAUACUUGGGAAGGAGCAGCAGUCAGAAUUUAAAAUGGUUUUUAUGACCUCUAGAACCAAUGGCACUAACAUCCAUGUUAGUGUAGGUUCAUAAGGAGAGUUCUAAACGCAGGCCGUCAACCACAUUAGUUUACUUAAUGUUAAAGGAAAUAAUUUCAUAAAGUAAUAACUUCGGAUUUAACUAUCUGAAUUCUCCCUUUAAACACAAUAUGGCCAUGUUCUUAUAUUUCAGUGGUACAACUAUAACAGACCUUGUCCAAGAUCAUUUCAGUUCAGAUAAGACUAAACAUAACUUUCUCCAGAGAAAAUACAUGGAUAUGUUUUUAUUCUUUCAUGUGCACACUAGGGGUAAUAUUCAAGAAGAGAGGAAUAUUCUAACUGCUUACGGAUUCUAUUUCUUCAAGAUUUUAUAAAAGGGGGAUAAGAAGUUGCUUUCUAGUCAGUGACUGAUUGCAAUUUGGAGCUACAGCCUAACAGUUGAUAGGAAAGAAAAACUAGAAAACAGAGGCUAUGCUUAUCAAAUUUUCUCCGCGUAGUCCCUUACAUCAACAUAGAAUGUUUGUCAAAAUUAAGGUUAAAAUUUUACCUCCUGAGUUUAAUUUAUGAAAAGGGAGAGAAAUUUCAGUGUUUGUGCAAAUGGCAUUUUGGCUCUCUGGAUUAUUUUAAAAGCUAAAAACCUGAGUAACAACUUUUAUCUAAAUAUUUUCUGUAAGAAGUGUGAAGUUAGUGUCAACCUGAAAUGUGUGAAAAACUUGUAUAAUAAUUUCGUGUGUUUUUAGCUUCAGUAUGAAGAAAAAUAAAGCAUUUCCUUGCCCUCCCACAAAAUGUAUGGCUAUUUAGAAAUAAGGUGUUUGUUCCUCCUUUUCCAAUGUAACCAUUUAUACCUAUUAAUAAAUGUUCAUGAAC
rnacentral:lncRNA from 1 species